UAAUUUUAAUUUUAAUUUUUUAUUUUAUAAAAAAAUGACUUUCUCUCUCUUACUUUACUCUUUCUCAAUCACCCACACGAUUUCAUCCUUCCAAUUUCUUCUUCACUCCUCAUUCUCAUCUAACAAUCUUCCCUUUCUUCUCUGAAGAGUCUCUGGCACCACCACCACCAUCGUCCCUCGUGCCCAGCUCGUGCCCGCCACCACCGCCGUCACUCCUCACUUUCUUCAAACACUGAUGUUGCUUUGGGGUUUUUUUCUUUGGGGUUGUCGACGAAAAGAAUGCUGUGAGCAUCAAACAUGUUUGUUAAUUUUCAGAUUCUUUUCAUGGGUUGUCUUGGUCCAUGGACGAGAGAUCGUUGAAAGAUGCGUUUUCUUCCUUUGGCGAGGUUACUGAAGGUAAUCGUGCAUGUUGAGCUUAACCCUUUGAUUUACCAGUUGUAUUCUACGUGUUCGACGAAAUGUCUAGUUGAUUUCAGACCUCAGUUCAUCACGUGUGCUUCUGGGUCGAAACAUUUUGCUUCCUUGACUUUCAUAAUUCCAAGGUUUUUCUUUCUAAAACUAAAUUUUGUUUCAUUGAAGUUUCUUCUUUUAUAAUUCUUGUAACGAGAGAGAAAAUGAGUUUGAGAUGUUUAGGAUUUAGGAGCGUUUUGUUUCGUAGCGUUUUACUAUGUUUUUGUGAUUUUCUUGGAAUAUUGAGACAAACCAAACAAUGAGAAAUAUAGAGAUUGAAAUAAUAACGAAUUUGAGAGGUGGGAAACUAGAAUUUAUAUAUGAGGUAAAAGGAAUUUGAUGUCCAUUGGUAAUCACUCUGGAACUUCACCAACAAAAUAGCUUUUGGGGAUGAAGUUCAUUUGAUAAGUUUAGAUGAAAUUGCAUGACCAUUUUGAAACUUCUGUGGUGAUCACUAGUCUAUAGAAACAUUAAUGUCCUGUAUGUUGCUUUGUUUGGUUUACUUGGUGACUUUAAUUUGUUUUGUUAAUUUGGAUGGAGUUAAUUGUUGUAAUGUUUAUAAGA